rnacentral:rRNA from 1 species
AACGAACGCUGGCGGCAUGCCUAACACAUGCAAGUCGAACGAGAGCUUCGGGUCUAGUCGCGCACGGUUGCGUAACGCGUGGGGACCUGCCCUUAGGGUCGGAAUAACUCCCCGAAAGGGGUGCUAAUACCGGAUAAUGUCUUCGGACCAAAGAUUUAUCGCCUUUGGAUGUGCCCGCGUUGGAUUAGCUAGUUGGUAGGGUAAAAGCCUACGAAGGCGACGAUCCAUAGCUGGUCUGAGAGGAUGAUCAGCCACACUGGGACUGAGACACGGCCCAGACUCCUACGGGAGGCAGCAGUGGGGAAUAUUGGACAAUGGGCGAAAGCAUGAUCCAGCAAUGACGCGUGAGUGAUGAAGGUCUUAGGGUUGUAAAGCUCUUUUAACCGGGAUGAUAAUGACAGUACCGGGAGAAUAAGCUCCGGCUAACUCCGUG